GAGAGGACUUUGCUGUGAGAUUGACAGGCGGAAUCUGUUAGCAUUUCACAAUAGCAUCAGCUUGUUAGCUGUGAAGACGGUCGUUCAGCAACGUGAUCCGGAGUGCCACUGCUUUGUUUUGUGUUACAGGGCCAGCACUGAACACAAACAAACUGGGAUCUCGCCAUGAUGGAAGACAAAAUACAGUUACUGAACCCUGUUUAUUGUAAACACUGGAGCUGAGGCUUUCCAAAUGGCUUGCAGGCUCCUCGGCUGCAAAUGGCGAACUGCAGGAUAGAGAUGGACAAAUGGCAGACGGGACAGAUGAUGUGCACAGUCCAAACAAUGCUAGAUGACAAGGAGUUGCCAUGGAGACCUUUGUGGAACAUCUGCAGAAACAUGUCCAAUAAUGGCUCAUCCAAACGUGGUGAUAGUGGAUCAGUGACACUGUCAAAAAGUCUCACAACAAAACACUGAAUGUUGGGAAUCCAUACCUCCAUAACUCUUGAAAAUAAUUGAUAAAUAAUUCUUAGUAAAGAUUAGCAUAUUACAUCCAAACCUAUUACAAAUAUUUUAAUACAGGAAAAGAAUAACUUUUUGGCAAAUAUUAUGCGUACAAAUUUGACUGGUUUCUAAGCACUCACAUUGACAUUAACAUAAGUAUAAAUUUAUAAACAAAUGUUGGCUUAAUGAGGUUUUUUUUUUGUCAAAUAUUAUUUUAGAAGGCUUUCAUUUUGAACCUUUAAUAUGACAAAUGGAUCUCAUUAGAAGCAAAUGAUGAAUAUGAUUGUAAAUAGCAAAAUAAAUUGUUUGCCGAAACAGAAGUUUGACAUAAUCUGGUUUCUUAUGAACACAGAAUCUGCUGUUUGAAAGCUAAGAUCCCAACCAAUCCAAGACCCCCAAACGAUGCAGUCUCUUAAUAUAGAAAUUUUAAUUGGUGUUAUAAAAGGCUGUUAAAAUGUCUAACCAGACCAACGCAGUGACAUCUUUGUGUCUGUGAACAUCAUGAUAUCACCGAACAUUUUUAAGAAAAGCAGACUCUGUUGAAUGCAAAAGCUAAUUUGGUAUUCAUCUAAACUUUUAUGUUGUUGCUGAAAAAAAAAACAGCUGGUCCGACAUAUUUUGUUUCUUACAUUUGUGCAGCAAAACUUGAAUUUUAAAUAAACCUGUAAUUAUUUUUCCUGAGAGGUAUUCAGGCAGAGUUUCUAAAAAAAAACACAAGUUCAGCAACAACAAACUGAAAUGGUGGUAGGAAUAGACACAACUGAAUGA